rnacentral:rRNA from 1 species
UACGAAGGGGGCUAGCGUUGUUCGGAUUUACUGGGCGUAAAGCGCACGUAGGCGGAUCGUUAAGUCAGGGGUGAAAGCCUGUGGCUCAACCACAGAAUUGCCUUUGAUACUGUUUGGCUAGAGACCGGAAGAGGUAAGUGGAACUGCGAGUGUAGAGGUGAAAUUCGUAGAUAUUCGCAAGAACACCAGUGGCGAAGGCGGCUUACUGGUCCGGUUCUGACGCUGAGGCGCGAAAGCGUGGGGAGCAAACAGG